UGGGUGAUCUGCCCUGCACUUCGGGAUAAGCCUGGGAAACUGGGUCUAAUACCGGAUAUGACCUUGGGAUGCAUGUCCUUUGGUGGAAAGCUUUUGCGGUGUGGGAUGGGCCCGCGGCCUAUCAGCUUGUUGGUGGGGUUAAGGCCUACCAAGGCGACGACGGGUAGCCGGCUUGAGAGGGUGACCGGCCACACUGGGACUGAGACACGGCCCAGACUCCUACGGGAGCA
rnacentral:rRNA from 1 species